ACCUCCAAUGUGUGAAAAGAUGUAAAUAUAAGGGAGAAAUAUAAACGCUCUGCGUUGAAGACUUGAAAUAGCCUAUUUAACACUGAUAACCACAAGGGCUUCUUGCAGAUUGUGAAGUAGGGUUUUUUAAAAUUAGGAGCCGGCUAUGUUGCAACCCAAAAAGCAUAUGAUGUCACUGUUGCUAGGGUUGUGCAAUGCUGCAUGCCAGUAACUGAACAAACAAACAGGAUAAAUCCACACAAAUUGGUGGCUUUGCUGUUGGAACGCGCUGGCCAUCUGCUUAUUGGUUUAUUGUUUUCUUUUUCCAAUCCUGUGUUUUCUCACCCCAUUGUGUCUAUGUAUCUGACACUUGGAAUUCAGAGCUGCUAUAAGGGGCUUCGUCAGCCAGUCAUCUUUGCGGGUCUGCUGUUUGCUUCUCGGUCCAGGUGUGAAGAAGCACGAAGACAGAAUCCGUGAGGAGGCAGAGCACUUUCAGAAGACAUGUUCUGAGCCUGGGGAAUAAGCUGUGAACACGGCUGCUUAGAUCGGUAAAGUGUGCCUAUCUCUCAGAAGCCCGCGCUUUACUUUUAAUAUAAAGGUUUUUUGCCGAGUGCUCACGAAUGCUUUGACAACUUGUAAUGGUGACUGUGCUAAUAACACAUACGGUAUGCAAUCAUGUUCCUGGAAUCUUAAGAUGAAAUCUACAUAGUGGUAUCUGUCGUUACAAAAAAGAAAAUAGCGGCAGCAAUGAGAAGAUUCAACAGUCGCAGAUCAGCUUCCUGUGUUUGCAGCCUGUUCCUAUAAAAGAUAAAACACCAUAAAGCUCACCCAAAUUAUGUUUCAGGUGUCAUUAUUUGAAUGUUUAGAGGGUGGGUGGAUGCAUGGGGUGGACAGAUUGCUGUAAAUUAGCUGU